UACGGAAGGCAGCGAGUGGGGAAUAUUGCACAAAUGGGCGAAAGCCUGAUGCAGCUAUGCCGCGUGUAUGAAGAAGGCCUUAGGGUUGUUAAAGUACUUUCAUCGGGGAGGAAAAACAAAACUAAUAAUUUUAUUUCUUGACGUUACCCGAAAAAGAAGCACCGGCUAACUCCGUGCCAGCAGCCGCGGUAAUACGGAGGGUGCUAGCGUUAAUCAGAAUUACUGGGCGUAAAGAGCACGUAGGUGGUUUUUUUAAAGUCAGAUGUGAAAUCCCUGGGCUUAACCUUAGGAACUGCAUUUUGAAACUGAAAUACUAGAGUAUCGUAGAGGGAGGUAGAAUUCUAGGUGUAGCGGUGAAAUGCGUAGAUAUCUGGAGGAAUACCUGUGGCGAAAGCGGCCUCCUAAACGAAUACUGACACUGAGGUGCGAAAGCGUGGGGAGCAAACAGGGAUUAGAUACC
rnacentral:rRNA from 1 species